rnacentral:rRNA from 1 species
UACAGAGGUCUCAAGCGUUUGUUCGGAUUCAUUGGGCGUAAAGGGUGCGUAGGUGGCGCUGUAAGUCGGGUGUGAAAUUUCGGAGCUUAACUCCGAAACUGCAUUCGAUACUGCGGUGCUUGAGGACUGGAGAGGAGACUGGAAUUCAUGGUGUAGCAGUGAAAUGCGUAGAGAUCAUGAGGAAGACCAGUGGCGAAGGCGGGUCUCUGGACAGUUACUGACGCUGAGGCACGAAGGCCAGGGGAGCAAACGGG